UUGGAUGUUUUUAAUUAUAAGCACAUUUACAAAAUAACAAAUUAUAUUCCUAAUGGGACAACACACGGUUAUAAAUUUAAUAGCAUCUGGAAGAACAUAAGCUAAGGUGGCCCCCCCUGAUGCACCCCAGACAUAGGCGAAGACAGAGAUGAGGGCUCUGACCCGUUUGCCUCAGAGUCAUCUUUGGGCUAGACAGAUAGAUUGGAUAGAAUAGAUGGAUAGAUGGAUGGAAAGAUGGAUAGACAGACAGACAGACAGAUGGAUAGAUAGAAAGAUAGAGGGUGUAUUAUCCUGCUGAAAGAGGCCACAGCCAUCAGGGAAUACUGUUUCCAUGAAAGAGUAUACAUGGUCUGCAACAAUGCUUAGGAUCUGCAUACGUGUCUCCAGGCGGCUCUUGUGCUGUCGAAGGACACGAGCUUCAGCCAAGAGCUCUUCAUCUUGCUGGCCCAGUGGUGAGCUCAGUCCAGAGAUGCCCUCCACCAGCUGUGGUGCUGCAGCUGCUGCUUCGUCAUGCUUCCACUUCAGCCGUCGGUAUUCACUCUGCAGCAUUCUGCACAGCCAUUAAGCACAAACAAGUUUAUAAUAUUUUCAUAAUGGGUGCUUAGGUGACGCAGCAAUCUAUUACACUAGCCUUAGAGGGGGUGGCUGAAGGCAGGCAAUAGUCUGGCAUCCGGUCCGGCGUAUACCAGCCUUGUGCCUAGUGUUUUCCGGUAAACUGGACUGGAUAAAGCAGUUGUUAAAAAUGAAAGAAAAUAAUCAGUUUAUUAAAAUGUUACUUUAACAUUCAUAUCCACAAACUAUUACUGAUCUGCUGUCAUCAUGUGAUGUCGUGUUCAGAAGACAUAAUAGCAGUGUACAUAGACAAAAAUCACUAUUAAAUAAAAACAGCUAUUAAUGCUUUUUAAUUUAACAUCAUUAUUCAUUUUACCACAUCACCAGGUAGUGUUUCCUACUAGC